rnacentral:rRNA from 1 species
UUAUUUUUUAAUAAUUAAUUUUUAUAUAAUUUUUAUAUAAUUAAUAUUUUAGUUAUUUAUAGGAAUAAAUAUUAUAAUAUAAUAAUAUUUUAAUAAUGAUAAAAUAAGUAUUUUAUAUAUAUAAAAUAUAGUAACUCGGCAAAUAUUAUUUUCGCCUGUUUAACAAAAACAUGGUCUUUUGUUUAUAUAAAAGAUCUAACCUGCCCUAUGAUUUAUUUAAAUGGCUGCAGUAUUUUGACUGUACAAAGGUAGCAUAAUCAUUUGUCUUUUAAUUGAAGGCUUGUAUGAAUGGUUGGAUGAAAAUUAUACUUUCUUUAUUUUAUAUAAAAAAUUUAAUUUUCUAGUCAAAAAGCUAGGAUUUUUUUAUAGGACGAGAAGACCCUAUAGAACUUUAUUUUCUUUUUUUAUAAACUUUAUAGAUAAAUAUAAGUUUAUAUAUUUUUGUUAAUUUUGUUGGGGUGAUUGAAAAAAUUUUUUAACUUUUUCUAUUUUUUACAUUUAUAUAUGUUUUUUUGAUCCUUUAUUAUGGAAUAAAAGAUUAAGUUACCUUAGGGAUAACAGCGUUAUUUUUUUGGAGAGUUCUUAUCGAUAAAAAAGUUUGCGACCUCGAUGUUGG